rnacentral:rRNA from 1 species
UACGAAGGGUGCGAGCGUUAUUCGGAAUCACUGGGCGUAAAGGGUGCGUAGAUGGUGUGUUAAGUUUGUUGUUAAAGGCUCCGGCCUAACUGGAGUAUUGCGAUGAAAACUGGCGCGCUAGAGGGUGAGAGAGAGAAGUGGAAUUCCCGGAGUAGCGGUAAAAUGCGUGGAUCUCGGGAGGAACACCAAUGGCGAAGGCAGCUUCUUGGCUCAUUCCUGACAUUGAGGCACGAAAGCGUGGGGAG